GACGAACGCUGGCGGCGUGCUUAACACAUGCAAGUCGAACGAAGAGCGAUGGGAGCUUGCUUCUAUCAAUCUUAGUGGCGAACGGGUGAGUAACGCGUAAUCAACCUGCCCUUCAGAGGGGGACAACAGUUGGAAACGACUGCUAAUACCGCAUACGAUCUAAACUCGGCAUCGAGGAUAGAUGAAAGGUGGCCUCUACAUGUAAGCUAUCACUGAAGGAGGGGAUUGCGUCUGAUUAGCUAGUUGGAGGGGUAACGGCCCACCAAGGCGAUGAUCAGUAGCCGGUCUGAGAGGAUGAACGGCCACAUUGGGACUGAGACACGGCCCAGACUCCUACGGGAGGCAGCAGUGGGGAAUCUUCCGCAAUGGACGAAAGUCUGACGGAGCAACGCCGCGUGAGUGAUGACGGCCUUCGGGUUGUAAAGCUCUGUUAAUCGGGACGAAAGGCCUUCUUGCGAAUAGUGAGAAGGAUUGACGGUACCGGAAGAGAAAGCCACGGCUAACUACGUG
rnacentral:rRNA from 1 species